rnacentral:RNase_P_RNA from 14 species
GGCGGGGGAAGCUCAUCAGCUGGGCCACGCGCUGAGUGCUCUUCACUCCAUCAGCACCUGGGAAGGUCUGAGACUGGGGCCUCCUGCGGCCCUAACCGUUCUCUCUGGUCUCUCCCAGAGUGGGGAGGUGAGUUCCCAGAGAGCAGGGCUCCACGCAUGGGCAGACUGGGCAGGAGAAGCCCCUCCCCCCAAAAAGAGUGGCUUCUGGAGUGAACGAACAAUAAUUGUUCACUAUAGUUGUCAGAGUCAGAAAAAUGAGGCUAGGAAAGAAAUGGAAAUGAGUGAAAACAAACAGGAAAUUUUUCUUUCUUGUUUCAACUUUCCCUUCC